GGAUUGUGGCUCAGUGGUAGAGCACUUGCCUCCUAUAUAUAAGGUACUGGGUUCAAUCCUCAGCGCCA
rnacentral:tRNA from 1 species